rnacentral:lncRNA from 1 species
AGCGUGGACCCUGGACUUGUGCUCCUAUGUCAUUUAUCCCAGCUGUUCCCGGUUUCCCCUUCUGAGCCAGGUAUCUUGGCCUCCUCGGUGGCCACAGCUUUCUGCUAAGCCUCGGUCUUCUUCCCGGCAGGAGAGACCUUUGACCCAUGUGCGUCCUGAUCCGUGGCCAGGAGCGUACCCAGUACGGCGGUGCGCCACUCGAGAGGCCUGACCCAGGUAGCCUCAACCUGAAUCUUCGACCCAGUAUCCUUUGAGGGGCCGAAUGGUUGCCAGCCCCUGCCCAGAGAUAAACAGAAGUCCAGGGAUGUGAAAUGUUGCCCUGACAACACAGACCAGAAUUGGAUAAAGGAGAAUAUGUAUCAUCUGGCCAGCCAGAGCGUCCCUGCUAUUUGGAAAAGGGCGGAGAACCUGUGGCAUUGUUUUGUAACCAAGAUUAAAAUCCUUAAUGGAGUAAGACUCAUCCAAUGAAUAAGGAAGAAACUAAGUGUCGUGGGCAGGCAUUACACCAAAGAAUGCAGAUGGCUGGCCGCUGAACCAAGAUAUCAGUGCUCCAUGGGAAUGCUGCAAAGACCCGGGGCUCUGAAAAGAUGGCCAUGCUAAUUCCUCUGUUGGUGUUUACCCAAGACAUGAAGACCAGAACAGGAAGAGACACUCGUGGGCUAUUCAUAAUCAACCAACUCAAUCCAUGAAUGGCAAAGUUGAUGGUGAUAAUUUUCCCUCAGAAACUGUCCCUCAGAAUGAAAAGUAGCCCAUGAUGAAUGUGGCCUAAGCACAUCUCAGAAGCACAAUGCCAAGGGAAAGAAACUCCUUAAAUGACAUCGUGGGGUUGGCAGGAGAAUAGAAACAGAAAUCAGACCCGCGGUUGUCAGAGAUGGAAACACAGAAUGGGAUUUGUUUGCAAAGCGUCUCAAAGAACUUUGUGGAAAGAACAGCCAUGGUCUAAGCUGUAAUACUGGUCAAAGCUUGUUUCAUGGUACUCAAAGAAGAUGAACUUAAGGAUU